AAACCUUUGAAAUAUUGUUUAUUAAUAAAAUAGUCCUUUGAUUAUUUUAAAAGUAAAUAUAUUUUACUUUAGGUCUCAUUGACUUUGCACCAAUUAUUAAAUAUGAAAAAUAGACCGGAUGGUGGUGGUGGAUCAGCACAAGUGACCACAUCAUUUCUCAAGACAUUCAUACUACUGCUCUAUCCUUUUCUAUUGGGAAGCCUUGUAACUAAAACAAUUUUCUUCAUAAAUGAACUGGGCUUUGCUCAUUCCCCAAGCAUUCAAUUUUGAGAUGGUUAUGCUCUGAGUUCCAUUGUUAAAUACAUACAGGUGAGCUUCUUUGUGAACUGCUAACUGAGGAUAAACUCUACUGCUAAUACAAGUUCUCCCUUCCCCACCAAAACUCUCAAUGAUUGAAUGGUCUAUCUGCAAUAGUUAAACAAACAUAUAUCAAAUGAAAAGGAAAAUGACAAUUGGAUUGAAAAUACUGAACUCACCAAGCUUCUUAAUGAAAUCUUUUCAUGCUGGGGAUCUAUAUUGACAAAAGCUCCAUAUGUGGUUUUAUCCACUUUUUCUUUUAGAGAAGACCUGCUUUGAUCACUGCACAUGAGUACUGUAUAUGCAUUGUGGCCUCUAAAAAUUCUAAAGAAUAUUGCAGUUUGCUCUGUCAAGUCCUCUGUUGCUAAAGCUAGCAAACCAAAUGGCCCCAAUCUACCUCUCACUGCUGCAUUUGCAUCAGUACACAUUUUUUGGGGAUCAACCCAGGUAGAGUUCAAUAACUCGGCCUCUUCUAAUUCUGGCAAUUCAAACAAAACCUCUACAUCUGCCUUUAAAGAUACCAAGAAGGAAGUAAUUAUGACAAUGCAAGCAGUUCAAUUUCCAAAUAACAACAGACAACAAAGAGAAGGAAGGAUAUAGCAUUCAAACAUAAUGGAACUUCUCUCUUUCAAACGGAAUUCAACCAUUCACCUGUGAAGCAGUUAUGUCUGGAAUUUCGAGUACUGAUCCACCAUCAAGUUUCUUAUGCUGGAUGCUGACUUGCUUGUCAUGUAGCUUAUUGAUUUCUUCCACUGGCCACAGCACUAAUUGGCUUCCACUUCUAUCAAGCCAUACUUGCCUAGGAAUUGACUGAAGUCCAGACCAUCCUUUGUUAAUAUCAUCUUCUGCACUGUCAGAUUCGUUUAUCCAGCCCCAUAAUAUCCUCCUAUCCUUGACACUAUCAAAGAAUGUCUUUGAAGCGUAAAACUUGCCAUAGUCAUACCUCAAGUCUGUGUUGCUACCUGUAAAAUCAGAGUCAGGAAUAUAUUUUUCCAUCCCAGGGACAUAAGUGCCUAUCAUGUAGUAGUCAUGCGAAUUGAAGCUGGCCUUCAUCACAUGCUUAACACCUGGAUUUAUGACUGAAGUGUCAACACCAUUUGUGCUGUUAACAGACACCGGAAAGAAGUCUGGACACUCCCACAUUCCAGUUUUUUCUUUUGAAUAAAGAGGAUCUUGAUACCUGCUCCAGUUAACAAAAUCUUCACUUUGAUACAGGAUUGCCAUUCCUUGAUCAUUAAUCGAGCUCCCAAUGAUCACAUUCCAUUUCCCAUCAGCACCCAGCCAAGCAGUUGUUGGAUCUCUAAAAUGGUCCCCUUCAAUACCAAUGGGAGGAGUUAUGACAGGAUUUUGUGAAAAUUUUAUCCAUUCUUUAAGUAAUGGGUCAGACAGAUUCUUGGGCAUUGCCAAAUUCUGAACCUGUGUAUUGUUGGCAUCAAUACCAGUGUAUAAAAUGACAGGUUUAUUCCCUGGAAGGAUUGUAACAGAACCAGACCAGCAACUUUUGAUGUCAAAUGGUUCUGUUGGGUGAAGGGCAUGAUUGAGAUGAACCCAGUUGAUGAGAUCAUAUGAUACAGAAUGUGCCCAUACCAUACCAUCACCAAAUAAAGCACUAUUUGGAU
rnacentral:misc_RNA from 1 species